GACGCAAUGGCGCAGUGGGUAGCGCUCUUGCCUCAAAGCAAGAAGGUCGCUGGUUCGAGCCUUGGGUCA
rnacentral:tRNA from 1 species